UUCCGGUUGAUCCUGCCGGAGGCUACCGCUAUUGGAGUUCGAUUAAGCCAUGCGAGUCGAGAGUCUUAGGGACUCGGCGUACCGCUCAGUAACACGUGGGUAACCUGCCCUAUGCUGGGGAAUAACCUCGGGAAACUGAGAAUAAUACCCCAUAGUUCACCACGCCUGGAACGGUGGGUGGAUGAAAGCUCCGGCGGCAUAGGAUGGGCCUGCGACGUAUCAGGUUGUAGGGGGUGUAACGUACCCUCUAGCCAUCAACGCGUACGGGUGUUGGGAGACAUAGCCCGGAGAUGGAUUCUGAGACACGAAUCCAGACCCUACGGGGUGCAGCAGGCGCGAAAACUUGGCAAUGCGAGCAAUCGUGACCAGGGAACUCCAAGUGGCUGGGGUAAUACCCAGUUUUUUCUUGACUCUUCAAAGGUCUUGGAAUAAGGGGUGGGUAAGGACGGUGCCAGCCGCCGCGGUAAUACCGGCGCCUCAAGUGGUAGUCGCUUUUAUUGGGCCUAAAACGUCCGUAGCCGGUCUGGUGCAUUCGUGGGUAAAUCAACCCGCUCAACGGGUUGAAUUCUGCGAGCACGGCCAGACUUGGGACCGGGAGAGGUGUGGGGUACUCUCAGGGUAGGGGUAAAAUCCUGUCAUCCUGAGAGGACCACCUGUUGCGAAGGCGCCACACUAGAACGGAUUCGACGGUCAGGGACGAAACCUAGGGGCACGAACCGGAUUAGAUACCCGGGUAGUCCUAGGUGUA
rnacentral:rRNA from 1 species